rnacentral:rRNA from 1 species
AGUGAACGCUGGCGGUAGGCCUAACACAUGCAAGUCGAACGGCAGCACAGUAAGAGCUUGCUCUUACGGGUGGCGAGUGGCGGACGGGUGAGGCAUACAUCGGAAUCUACUUUUUCGUGGGGGAUAACGUAGGGAAACUUACGCUAAUACCGCAUACGACCUACGGGUGAAAGCAGGGGAUCUUCGGACCUUGCGCGAUUGAAUGAGCCGAUGUCGGAUUAGCUAGUUGGCGGGGUAAAGGCCCACCAAGGCGACGAUCCGUAGCUGGUCUGAGAGGAUGAUCGGCCACACUGGAACUGAGACACGGUCCAGACUCCUACGGGAGGCAGCAGUGGGGAAUAUUGGACAAUGGGCGCAAGCCUGAUCCAGCCAUACCGCGUGGGUGAAGAAGGCCUUCGGGUUGUAAAGCCCUUUUGUUGGGGAAGAAAAGCAGCAGGUUAAUACCCCGCUGUUCUGACGGUACCCAAAGAAUAAGCACCGGCUAACUUCGUG